UACUAAAGUCUAUAAAAAGAAACCAUUAAGUCUAAUAGGGUUAAAAAACUUAAAACACUAAAACAAGCCCAUUAUUAAAUUUUGAGAACAAAGAGGGCAAAAUUAGGUGGUUGUAAGAGGGCAUCUUGGGUUGGAAGUUAUCCCGCCUGCAACCCAUUUGAAAAUAUAAAAAAACAGCUGGUCCCCUUUGGUAGAAUUUUGUGGCUAGAUACUUUGAGUAAAAAAUUCCCCGAUUAAAAAGGAGUAGUUUUUGUAUACUGUCCUCUUUUGGAAGAUGAGCUAAUAUUAUUCAAUAAUUCUCUUUUAUUCCUUUUUCCUUAAAAGGAAAUUACUCAUUUCCCCAUUUCCCGCCUGCUCUUCCCCCAUUAAACCUGUGUAAUUAAGUGUGUAGAAGCUGCUGUGCACAGUUUGAAAAAAAGUAGGUGUACUAUGAAAGUACUUGACUUGUUUCUCUACUUCACCGUAAAAGGCAACAAGUGAACAUUUUGGAUUUUGGGGGGGCACUUGGGCCAACGUCAAAAUCACAAACCCAACACCAAACCCAGAAAUUAAAUAAGUGCAUAUAAAAAACGUUGUGGUAAGAAUGUGGUUUAAAAACCUAAGAGGAAGUUCAAGGGAAUCCUCUAGCCACCAAAUCUUUCAACAAAAAGCCACGGUGUUGAAAAGAGGUAACCGAAAGUGGGAAACUUCCAAAAAAAAAGAAAGGUAAAACCUGGAGGCUUUGUGAAGGAAAGUCCCCCUUGUUCCGUGGACCACUGGUUGGGCUUGGCCAAAAGUGUAACAAUGGGAUAGCAAAGAAACAACGCGAGAUAAGGGAAAUGGCCCGGAUGCUUCAAAACCAAAACAAGGGCAAGGGGUUCUCAGGGGGGCAAUUUGUUUUUUGCCAGAGACAAUAACAUGGUUGCACUUUGUAGUUGUAAAUAAACCCAUUUUGUCCUAAAGAGUUGAUAAUUUUAAUUAACUAGGUAAAUGUUCUAGGUCUGGAAGGAGUUAGAGAACUGGCUCUUGUUAAGAAAAUAACAUUCUCUUCUUCUUCCCUUUUCUUAAUGUGCCCAUCUCUACUAUUUCCCUUCUCCGUGAGUGAGAAAAAAAAAACCAUGUAAGGUUUAAUAAUAAGGGGCUAACAUGAGUGUAUUGGCUGAAACAUUUGUUUCCACAUCAGUCCUGUGUCUUCCUCUUUUCGUUUUGUGUUUCAAAAGGCUGUGAUGUGUGUUUUGGCCCGUACAAAAAAAGAUUUGUUCAACCCCACUUUGGGGCUUUCCUCUCCUGCUGGCCCUUUGCCAACUUGGGCCCCUCCUCUAAAUAACCCAUUCCUAAACUGGCCAAGUUCUCUAAUAAGGUGGACCUUUUGAAUUUAUUGUCCACUGAACCCUUCCUUUGGUUCAAUUGGUUUUAAAUUUGGUUGUUGGUAUCCUGUGGUUGACCAAAUUUUCCAAAUUUUAAAAAAACAUUAAAC
rnacentral:rRNA from 1 species